rnacentral:rRNA from 1 species
UCUGGUGCCAGCAGCCGCGGUAAUUCCAGCUCCAAUAGCGUAUAUUAAAGUUGUUGCAGUUAAAAAGCUCGUAGUUGGAUUUCUGUUAAUAAUUUAUAUAAAAUAUUUUGAUGAAUAUUUAUAUAAUAUUAACAUAAUUCAUAUUACUAUAUAUUUUAGUAUAUGAAAUUUUACUUUGAGAAAAUUAGAGUGCUUAAAGCAGGCAUAUGCCUUGAAUACUCCAGCAUGGAAUAAUAUUAAAGAUUUUUAUCUUUCUUAUUGGUUCUAAGAUAAGAAUAAUGAUUAAUAGGGACAGUUGGGGGCAUUUGUAUUUAACAGUCAGAGGUGAAAUUCUUAGAUUUGUUAAAGACAAACUAAUGCGAAAGCAUUUGCCAAGGAUGUUUUCAUUAAUCAAGAACGAAAGUUAGGGGAUCGAAGACGAUCAGAUACCGUCGUAGGNUNGACCNUAAACUAGCCAACUNNGG